GAUGAACGCUAGCGGCAGGCUUAACACAUGCAAGUCGAGGGGCAGCAUAAUGGAUAGCAAUAUCUAUGGUGGCGACCGGCGCACGGGUGCGUAACGCGUAUGCAACCUACCUUUAACAGGGGGAUAACACUGAGAAAUUGGUACUAAUACCCCAUAAUAUCAUAGAAGGCAUCUUUUAUGGUUGAAAAUUCCGAUGGUUAGAGAUGGGCAUGCGUUGUAUUAGCUAGUUGGUGGGGUAACGGCUCACCAAGGCGACGAUACAUAGGGGGACUGAGAGGUUAACCCCCCACACUGGUACUGAGACACGGACCAGACUCCUACGGGAGGCAGCAGUGAGGAAUAUUGGUCAAUGGACGCAAGUCUGAACCAGCCAUGCCGCGUGCAGGAUGACGGCUCUAUGAGUUGUAAACUGCUUUUGUACGAGGGUAAACGCAGAUACGUGUAUCUGUCUGAAAGUAUCGUACGAAUAAGGAUCGGCUAACUCCGUGCCAGCAGCCGCGGUAAUACGGAGGAUUCAAGCGUUAUCCGGAUUUAUUGGGUUUAAAGGGUGCGUAGGCGGUUUGAUAAGUUAGAGGUGAAAUUUCGGGGCUCAACCCUGUACGUGCCUCUAAUACUGUUGAGCUAGAGAGUAGUUGCGGUAGGCGGAAUGUAUGGUGUAGCGGUGAAAUGCUUAGAGAUUAUACAGAACACCGAUUGCGAAGGCAGCUUACCAAACUAUAUCUGACG
rnacentral:rRNA from 1 species